GGUUAGUCUCCACUCUCCACCCAAAAAAAACUAAACCACCCGUAGUUUUUGUUGGUCAAUGUUGAACCUAUAUGAGAAGGCAAGACAUAUAUGAUUUCACAAUCGAAGAAAACCAGAAUCUCAGGCAAAGUCUCGAUCUAAGAAAAAAAAAACCGAGCAUUGCGUAGCAAACACAAUGUUACAAGAAGAGUCGCUCAUCUUUGGUUCCAU